UAAUACGAAGGGUGCAAGCGUUGUUCGGAAUUAUUGGGCGUAAAGAGCGUGUAGGCGGUUUGUUAAGUCGCUUGUGAAAUCCCCCGGCUCAACCGGGGAACUGCAAGCGAUACUGGCAGGCUAGAGUGUCGGAGGGGAUAGUGGAAUUUCCAGUGUAGGAGUGAAAUCCGUAGAUAUUGGAAGGAACACCUGUGGCGAAGGCGACUAUCUGGACGACAACUGACGCUGAGGCGCGAAAGCAUGGGUAGCAAACAGG
rnacentral:rRNA from 1 species